rnacentral:rRNA from 1 species
UACAGAGGUCUCAAGCGUUGUUCGGAUUCAUUGGGCGUAAAGGGUGCGUAGGUGGCGGGGUAAGUCAGGUGUGAAAUCUCGGAGCUCAACUCCGAAACUGCACUUGAUACUGCCUUGCUCGAGUACUGGAGAGGAGAGUGGAAUUCCCGGUGUAGCGGUGAAAUGCGCAGAUAUCGGGAAGAACACCCGUGGCGAAGGCGGCCUCUCGUGGGAC